CCUUUUGGUUCGGAACAACACAGGGAAACUUGUUGCUAAUACCGGAUAAGCCCUUACGGGGAAAGAUUUAUCGCCGAAAGAUCGGGCCGCGUUCUGAUUAGCUAGUUGGUAGGGUAAUGGCCUACCAAGGCGACGAUCAGUAGCUGGUCUGAGAGGAUGAUCAGCCACAUUGGGACUGAGACACGGCCCAAACUCCUACGGGAGGCAGCAGUGGGGAAUAUUGGACAAUGGGGGCAACCCUGAUCCAGCCAUGCCGCGUGAGUGAUGAAGGCCCUAGGGUUGUAAAGCUCUUUUGUGCGGGAAGAUAAUGACGGUACCGCAAGAAUAAGCCCCGGCUAACUUCGUGCCAGCAGCCGCGGUAAU
rnacentral:rRNA from 1 species